GAAGGGGCUGCGGCGGCCCUAGGUGGGUGCUGGGCGCAAGGGUGCCUUAAGGGACGCCCGCAGGAAGACAGGAGGGGUGAGCGUGGGGGCCAGGCCAGAAGAAGGGGACAUGGAAAGCGGAGAAAGGAAACUCCCAACAACGAGAUGGAAGAGAACCUGAGCGGGCGCCGGACAGGGGAGGAGCCACUGCGCGGGGACGCCGGGUGGAGGACGGAGAAGCGGACACACCCUUGGGCGGGGACUGGACCCCGAAGGCAUGUGCACGGGACCCAGGAGCUGCAGCUUCUCCCCGCUCUUCAGAUGUGUGCUGAUCUGAGGCCAGCAGAGCUGGGGUGCCAGCAGUGGAGGACAAGCAAGCGGGCCUGCACCCCUGUCCAUCCAGGGCGUGCUAGCUGCAAGCUCGCAAGCUGGAGGGUCUCACAACGUGGAGCAGGAGAAGGAGACAGUCUCAGGAAAGAGAAGAUGAAAGACAAACCCUUCUCCACGGAACAAGAGAUGGGAGAAUCGCUUCUCAAAGGAGGACUUGGUGCCCAGAAGGUAAGAAGAAAGCCCCAUAGGCGUGUCAGCGGCUCCAAACGGCAGCCUUUCCCUUUGCCCAGGGGCCUGCGAUGCGGGAUUCCAAGGAUAAAAUGGUGGAGCUCGGACACCUUCAGAGAAGGGGCCUUCUGGUCAGACUGCACCCCACUGUCAUUGUUUUGCGAGGAGGGGAGCCUGACGGCCCCUUGACGAAGCAGCGUUUGCCUGAGUUCUAAGAACAUUGAACCUAGAAUUCCACACACCGUGAAGCCAGCAUCCAAGUGAAACCGCACAACGACGGUGUCUUCACGGCCUGUAAACGUCCAAGUACCACGCACGGUCUCUAAGAAAUUACUGAAAGAUACACCCUAGCGAAAUGAACAGGGAAUCCUAGGGUAAGACAGGAUGCCAGCGAAGAAACCGCUUUGGACUGUUAAAAAGAAAAUCAAAUAACAACUUGAGAGCGAAUUCCAGAUGACUGAACACGGCACGUGGCAAGCAGAGGGAGGGGCGGGAAGUACAAGUUGACUAGAGCUCUUCUAUUGCUAGAGGAUUUUAGAAUGGACAGAAAAAGGCUUAAAAUGUUAAAAUACCCAAGUUUCUCCUAAAAAAUGGAAAUAGGAUUUACAAUUCCAUGACACAUGGGUGAAAACUGAAAGGAAGAAAAAUUGACCGUGCCAAUACAAAGCAGAAAAAAAGGAAAAAUGCGUGAUAAAUAAGGACCAGAACAUGAGAUGACAGGGAUCCGUUCAAAUGUUUGAGCUGAGAGACAGGAUUGAAUUAAAGUCGUGCUAAAAGACUGAGACUCUCAAAUUGGAAUAUAAACGUCCUUAAAUAGUGUUUACAAGAAAUACUAAAAUGUCAGAGAUUGAAAAUAAGAGUGAAAAGUAUGUAUCAUAUAAUUUUUGCUCCUCGAAAGACCAUGAAGAGAAGGAAGAACGAAAGGCUAAAAACGAGAGGGUAUUUGCAACACGUGCACCUUGCAAAUGAUGGGUGCCCAGAAUAUACAGAGAGCCCUUUCAACAACACUGGAACACGACCAGCCAGUGAGACGGCGGGCAAAGCCCGUCAGCUAGCAGACGACAACACGGAAAGGGCCAAUACCUUCACUAGGCAUUUUGCAAAUGCGAAGAGAAACGCACCAAGUGGUCACAGACGUUCAAGCCUGGCAAUACCCGGUGACGCCUAGGAGGUGAGUCACUGAGACACACACAUCCUGCUGGCCAGAACAUCAGGUGGUGCAAUCAUCUGGGUAAAUUAUAUGGCAUUAGCCAACGAGGUUGGACGCGUGCAUAGCAAACCACCCCAAAACUUCACAGUCAAAACAACAACCAUGCCCUUGGCUCACGGGUCUGCCCUGCGGGCAGGAGUCCACAGUCACGGCUCGUCUACGCUGCGCCUCGCCAGCUGGGGCACCUCCCCAGGGGCUGGAGGGAUCGCGUCCAAAAUGGCAUUCCCACGCAGGUGUUCAGCCAGCUCAGGCUGUGGGCUGAGGGCGUGGGGACUUCCUCAUGGGACGGAGGCCAGGUUCCGAGAGCAAGGAGUCCCAAGAGAACCAGCUGGGACGUGUAUUGCCUUUUAUGUCAUCUCCUCAGAAGCCACAUGGCGUCACUUCCGCUCCAACCCAUCCAGAUGCAAGUCGUGAGGGGACACUGUCACCUGCUUCCUAUAGAGAGAAGUGUCAGGGUCCCUCUUUAGCGAGAGCGCAUGCUGUGGAAGAAGUUGCUGUGGCCACUUUGGGGUGAUGCAAGCUGCCACGUGUGCGGGCUGCGCCCAGCCACGGGGUCCGGCCGCCGGGUCCACCCGGACUGCUCCGCACCAGCACGCACGCGGCCUGGAGACCCGAACGGGUUCUUUGGAGGACUCGUGGCAGUGUCCAGGAGCAAAGAUGCUGGGGAGACCCUGAGAGUCCACGGACAGUGAAGGGGACGAGCAAGGGGCAUCAUAGAGUGGCGGAGCGACCGCAGCUGACAGGAGCGGACCACAGUACCACGAGCCACGUGUCGGGUCUCGGACAACAAUGCCGAAUGGGACCGGCUCACGGAAGGCUGUCACCUGCGGUUCCACGCACACUGGGCAGACGGAGCUGGGACAGGGGCGUGUGAGGACGACACACACCCCUCUGUCUCCCCUGACAUCUAUGAAUGAACCUUGAGUUCGUGCUGGUGGUCACAGUUCCAACCCAGCAGAGGCCACCCGGCUCGUCCCCUCUCUGUGUGAUGCUCUUUCAACAGGAAGAGCCCCCGCGUUCACCUAGUGGUCAGCCCGGAGCUUGGCCUCAGACACAACAGCUGCUGCCCCCUAUGGGGUGCACCGGCCAAAAGCUGGGUUCUGGGGACAUCAAGGAUCUCCUGCCCCACCCCACACGUCCCACCGUUAGCUCUGCAGCUGAAGGCCCGGGCCCAGGAAAGGCAAGCGGAAGGUGCCAGCGUUGUUUCCAAGGCUCUGUUUUCUAGAGACUGGAGAUAAAACUCUUCUUUUCUCCUGCUCUGUCUCUAAGCUCACGGAGUAGCCUGUGCCCUCAGAUGCAAGUCGUGAGGGGACACUGUCACCUGCUUCCUAUAGAGACAAGCGAAACAUUCUUUAAGUGGUGAUUUUCCCUCUUCGGCAUUCAGGGGAAAUUGUUGUUACUGACUCUUCACUUUUAAUAGAAAUCUGGUUAUUUGCAUAGUUUCAAUAGAAAUCAGUUCUCCUCUUUGCCAGGACACAACAGGACAAAUCGAUUGUGCAGCCAAGACCUGACGCUGGUGUCGUGUCUGAGAAAACAUCCCCUGUGGUUCCGUGUGACCCACCGAGCUGAGGGUCAAGGGCCAUAGGGCCUGUGUUGACCCAACACCCCCACAGGCCUCAGGCCCACGCCGUCCAGGCCCCUGUGCCGCAGUGCGAGCUGGGGCAGGCACCACGGUCCUGGGGAGGGUGGCAGGUUCUGCAGGCAAGGUUCAGUUGUGUAACCGAGAAAGAGAGGAGAUUAGGAGAAAUUAAACUCUCAGGUGUAGCAGAGGCCCAGUCCCACACCCGCGACCUCCCAGGCAGAAGCCGAGUUUCCGGCCUCGGCGGUGGGAAAUGCCAUGUGGCUCGGACGUGCUGGCCGAAGCUGUUCAUUACCAUCCCUGCGGCUCCUGUGCGGGUGCUUGCUGUGGUGCACAGUAACCUUUGGAGAUUCUCGUGAUGGAGGGAGGGGGUGGCGCUAAUAAAAAUUUUCCGAAAGGCAGGACGGUGGCGGGCCCUUUGGGUGGGAGGCUCAGUGUGGUCCCCAGACCUGACUCUCUGGGGUGCGCUGUUUAACUUGUUAUUUACUAUGGAUUAUGACUUUUUUACGACUCGUGGAGGACAGACUUGUAGAAAACGAUGGCUAUGUAAAAUGAUUCUUGUCUGACAGCAACGCAAAUGAAUUUUGCUCACUAGAAAGUGACAGAAAUGACUUCUGUCUGGUAGGGAAGAUUCCGGUUAGAACAGCUCGCGGUUUUACGGCCCCUGGAGAACGGUGGCCUGUUUUUUGAUCUCAGUUAACACGCUUACCCCAGCGAGCUUUUUUCCAGCCCCUACAAAUACUUCCCUCUCCCUGCAAGCUUUUGAACCAGCCUCACCAUCGUGCUGGUUUCUGCAUGAAUGACUUAAAUAAACCUUUGACACACCCUCACUUUAGAGCUGCAAUGUCGCAUUUUUAAGUUUUUUAAAAUUUAUGUUUUGACAGCUCCCACGUGUAGCCGCACCCUCAGCACCUCCCGUGGGGCGUCUAAUACACAUCUCAGACUUCACAGGCCUGAGAUCGCGUGCCUGGCCCUCAUCCCCAAACUUCUCUCAUCUUUUUCAUCUGCUACGGGUUGAACCGUGCCCCCCAAAAAGAUAAGUGGAUGUCCCAAUCCCCAAACCUGUGGCUGUGACCUCGCUGGAAAUGGGUCUUCACAGGCGAUCACCUCGACAGGAGGUCACAGGGCCGGCCCGAACCCAGUGACUGCUGUGCUUGUAAGGACAGGGGGUUUGGACGCAGACACGCAGGGAGAGGGACAUGCGACAACAGAGGCAGAGACUGGAAGGCCGAGCUCCCCGGCCACCAGGAGCUGGAGGCAGGAAGGGUUCGGGGUGGGGGAGCCCUGCGGACGCACGACCUCAGCCUUGCAGCCUCCAGGACGUGACACAGCGCGUUUUCCGUUGUCUGAACCACCCAGUUUGUGGUACGUUGUUACGGCAGCUUCACUAUCUCAGUAGAUGUUGACCCCAUGCUUCCUGAGUGAGAGGCAGGGCCUUUCUGCCCACAUCUGCUCCGUCAGCAAAUACUGUUGGCUCCCCCUUCAAAAUGUGUCCAGAACCAGCCCUGUGUCCCCACCUCCGGUCACCUCUGCAGAGCCAGGCAGUGUUCUCCCUCACCAGGCCAUCCCGGAAUCCCGACUACUCUCAACAGCCCAAGUGACACUGCUGUGCUCAGAACCUUCCAGUGGCUCCCCACCUCUCAGAAUAAAAGCCAAAGUCCUCCACUCAACAACCAAAAUAAACCAGAUUAGAAAACGGGUAAAGAACUUGAAAGACAUUUCUCCAAAGAAGAUACACGAACGGCCAAUAAGCACAUGGAGAGGUCCUCAGCAUCGGCAGCCAUCGGGGGGACGCAGGUGAGAACCACAGACGCCACACCCAGGAGGACGGAGAGAUCCGAAAAGCCUGACGACAGCAAGCGUCAGUGAAGAUGCGGAGAAACUGGAACGCUCUUGCACUCCGGCGGGAACGCGAAAUGGGCAGCUGAGCAUUUCCCCAAAUGCUUAAACACAGAGUCACCACGUGCCCCAGCCCCACUCCCGGCUGUACCGCCAAGAGAGUGAACGCACCUGUCCACACAGAUGUGCACAUGGAGACGCACAGCAGGAUCGUCACCACGGCCAAGGAGUGAAAACGCACCAAAUGGCCACCAGCUGACGACGGACAAGGGAAAUGUGGCCUGUCCGUAUGGAAUAUUCUCUGGCAAUAAGGAGAAAGCGCUGAAAUCCACUACAACACGGGAACGAUGCUCGGAGGAGGAAGCCGAAGGCUCGCGCGAUUUCAUCGCUAUGAAAUGUCACAGAGACAGAAAUCCGUGGAGACAGAAAGCUCGUUCGUGGUAUGGGCUUUCUCUGGGGGUGGCGAAAACGUCCCAAAAUUGGCUGGUAAGCGUGGCACAACCUCGUACCUAUAAUAAAAAUCAUUCGAUUGUACAAUUUUAAAUGGGUGAAUUGUAUGGUUUGUGAGUUAUAUCUCAAUAAAGCUGUUUUUAAAAUACA